AUGUUAUUUAGGCCAACUCCAACGCACGAUCCCAUCUUGUCCGUCCGUGUCCGUUUGAGGGUAACGGACAAAACAUGCCUCCCAGCGCGCGGCCGCAAACAGGCCAUCGUCCGUUUUCUGUCCGCUUUCGACCCAUUCCCGACCCAAGUUUGGGUCGAGUUUGCGGCCGAACGGACACACACAGACGUGAGCGGCGCAUGCCCUUGUCCUGCCCUGGCCCGCCCGUUGGUGAGACAUACCCCCUUUUUCUUCCUCUACCUCCCUCCGCGCCCGCGACGGUCUCUGGUGUUUGCAAGGCUUGCGGAAGGGCACUCCCCGAAGGUGAACUUUGAGGUCAAUGGCCACCACUACAACAAGGGAUAUUACCUAGCUGAUGGCAUCUAUCCUCGGUGGUCCACUCUUGUGAAGACCAUACCCAAUCCGCAAGGAGAGAAGAGAUAG
rnacentral:rRNA from 1 species